UACGUAGGGUGCAAGCGUUGUCCGGAAUUAUUGGGCGUAAAGAGCUCGUAGGCGGUCUGUCGCGUCGGCUGUGAAAUCCCGAGGCUCAACCUCGGGUCUGCAGUCGAUACGGGCAAACUAGAGUAUUGCAGGGGAGACGGGAAUUCCUGGUGUAGCGGUGAAAUGCGCAGAUAUCAGGAGGAACACCGGUGGCGAAGGCGGGUCUCUGGGCAACAACUGACGCUGAGGAGCGAAAGCGUGGGGAGCGAACAGG
rnacentral:rRNA from 1 species